GUACUUGUUUCCGCAGUACAUAUUUUAAAAUUAGAUCAAUACAGAGCAGAUAAGCAUGGCUGCUGCCUGGGGAUUGGCACACAAAUUGAGAAAGCAUUCCAUAUUUUG
ensembl:snRNA U6 U6 spliceosomal RNA